AAUGUACUCCCUCCGUCCCAUGUUAAGUGCCAAAAUAUUAAAUGUAUCUAGAUACUUUUUAGAUAUAGAUACAUUGAUAUUUGGACAAAUUUGAGUCACUUAAUGUGAGACGGAGGGAGUACUAA
rfam:Brachypodium distachyon strain Bd21 chromosome 3, whole genome shotgun sequence.